GGGGAGAGGGAGGAGAGGGAGGGAUGGAGAGAGAGAGAGAGACAGACAGAGAGAGAGAGAGAGAGAGAGAGAGAGAGAGAGAGAGAGAGAGAGAGAGAGAGAGGAUAUAUCCCCCAAGGAUGCACCCCUCAGUGACCUACUUCCUCCAACUGGGCUCGGCUAGGGUUUCUAUCACCUCCCAAAAUAGUGCUGCCAGCUGGGGACCAAGCCUUCAAUGGGGGAUGUCAUGGGACAUUUCAUAUUAAGUUAUAGCAUUACCUGCUUGCCCACAAUUUAUUCUUUCCAGGACCUGCUCUCCUUUUUUAAAACAGCUUACCUUGGUCACAAAACACUUUAGACAUUAUGGAAAACAAUCUAGAAAUUACUCAAAACAUGAAAAAUAGUGCUAUUAUUUGAGCUGGCAGUCCCGCUGUUGGGAAUAUAGCAUACUCCCUUGGGAAACAAAGUCAGGUUGCUUAAGAGGCACAUUCACACUCAUGUUCAUUGCAGUGGCUCCAGACAAUGUCACAACGGCCAAGAAAUGAAUGUAGAGAAAGUGAGGUCCAGAGGAACAAUGGAAUACUGCUUAGUUUGACACCAUUCUCCUAUUUGCAACAACAUAGAUGGAACUGGAAAGCAUAAUGAUUAAAAGAAAAAAGAAAAACAAAAACGAAAACCAACAACAACAAAAUACCCUCUCAGGCUCAGAAAAACAGGGUGUAUGUAUAUGAUCUAACUUGUGAAAUAUAGAAAAGUGACUUCAUGGAGAUUAAGAAUAGAAAGUGGCUAAGGCAAGGCAAAGGAAGGCAAAAGAGGGACAUAGAGGCUAAGUAACUGAUAAAUGUGAGAUGCUAUUCCACAGUAGGCGAUGAUAGACAAUAAUACACUGUAUAUUUUUAAAAGGCCAGAAAAUGAAAAAGAAAAACGAUAACAUGUUUGAAAAGAAAGACAUAUUUACUCUGAUUUAAACAUACAGUGUAUACAUGUGUCUACACUGUAGCCCACCAAUAUUUUUAAUGUUUUUGACUUUGGAAUACAAAGGCCCCGAACUCUUGCUUGGUGCAAGAGAGCCUUGGAUUUCUUGGGAUGGGAUAAAGAGGAAGCAGUUGGAAAAAGAAAAUGCCUUUCCCCUUCCUGCCUCCCUCCCCCUCUCUCUUUUCCCUCCCAUCUCUCCCUCCCUUCCUUCUCUCCCUUCCUCCUUUCUUCCUCUUCUCCCCUCCUUUCUUUCUUUAGUUCUUUUCCUAAAAAUCACCCACAAAACCUGCGGUUGGGUUAAUCUGCCACACUGUAAUUGCUACUGGUGAGGAACUUAGCUAUCUUUAUUUUUAAAAUGAAACCACUUUUCUUGAAGCUUAUGUCACUACACAUCACAUCUGGGCCCUGAGCUGGCAGCAGAUACCCCGUAGCAGCAAGGGCUCCAGACAGUGUCAUUUCAUCGAUUUAGAGACGAAUCCAAAGUCAGCAGAGAAGAUGAAAACCACAUGCAGUCCAAUUUGCCCCAGUUACAGGGGAGUAACUGCUUGAAGACUUGCACUUGGCCCAUCACAGAGAUCAUCACACAGCAGUCCAUUGUCUGCUCUUUCUUUGGGUGAGUGCCAGAUGAGUCAUUGGUUUGCAUUUCAAGGUUACAGCCGAUGAAAAACACUUAUCUGUAAGCACAAUGAUGACCUUCAAUGGCACCUGAGGCUCUAAGAGGGAUGCUAGUGGGCCUGUUUCAGUGACAGUUGAUUUCUUGCAUUCACUCAGGCAUGUGUUAUGGAGCACCACACACACAAGGGGUUGAAGGCACUGUUUUAAUUUUUCUCUUUCUUCUUUGACCCUUUCUGACUCCAUCUCACUCUCCCAAACACACAUAGUUUGCUUGGAAUAUGAGGGACUCUUGUAUGUGUUAUAAACACUUGCCUGUGCCAGGGCUUGGAGGAUUGAACCAGGCUCACUAUCAGUAGUCUCAUCAUUCUCCUGGCAUUCUUUAGGCUUCCAUCUUGGACUGCCCCAUUGGCUCUGACUGGUAUUUUUGUUUGGUUUUAACUUCUUUUUGUUUCUAAACCGGAUGACAUAGCUUUUUCACUAAUUUGACAUUAGUCAUGGCUUUAGGUGAUUUGAUCUUGGCUCAGUCUCCCUGUGAGACUGUGCCUUGUUGCCUAAGGGUUGGUGGUGACGGCUGGAAGGGUACCUUACUUUCCUGUGAUGGAAUGCACCCCGAGACCUGUCUGUCCAAUCUUCUAGGUCUAUUGUCAUUCACCUUUUAGGAGACUGAAAUUUGUGCAUAUAUUUAAAGUUCCUGACUCAGGACCAGCCCUUCUCUGAUGAGUACCAUUUGUGAGGUCCAUUUUUCACGAUAUUUCCAGAAUUGUAAGUGAUAAACCGAAUAGCUUCGUGCCCGUUGCUCCUUCUAAGCUGGGAGUACAGGGGAGUGGGGGAAGGCUUUACACAAAAACAGGAAAUGUUGAAAUAUCAGUCCUGCCUCUGUGAGACCCAGCACAAAUUCAUUAGUCUCUAUGGUAUUUCUAAAGACACCCUCACUGCAAGGGAAGACUUGAGUCACCUCCCCAAGGGUUGUUAUAAGGAAUAGAGUUAUACAAAAACGCCCAGGACAUAUCACUUACAACUGCCACAGCCACUGGAAGCAAGGAUGUGUUGGGGGGAAAUCAAGGUAACUUCUUCAACUUGGCAAUGAGAAGUGAUUUGCCUUUUUGUAUGGCUCAUGCCAUUUUGCCUUAGCCAGAGCACAGUGGAGGAGAUGGUGCCUGUUCUGACACGUGGUGCUAGAUUUGGGCGAGCCCGUGGUCUCUCAGUCACAGUUUUCUUGAUUAUAAAGUGAAUGUAACAAUACUUACUGCUUAUGAUUUGGGGAGAGAAUAAGAUUCAGUAGUCAGUGCAGUGUCUGGCUCAAAUGAUUACCUGCUAUGGAGUACACAUACUCUCUCUUCUCUUAGACCACAUGUUCUGUGUAGGCAGAAAUGCUUCCAGGUGACUGUUGGCCCAGGGACUGGCAGGAAGCCGGGCCUCAGCAGUUAGUGAAGAGGGAAGCGUUUCCCUUUUUUUCCUGGUUCUCAGCAGAUCCCAUUUGAAGACUAUAAAUUAAGGUCCCACAGCAAUUUAGAAGAUAAACAAUCCCAGAAUAGGCUCCUACAGCAUUAAAUAAGGCAAUUUAAAAAUGGGUCACUGUGGGAAAAAAAAAAAAAAACAGAAACAAAAACAAAAACCUCAACUGUGUUCUAUAAAGGAGGCUCCUGGGGCUCAGUUCACAUGAGAAGGCAGCUCUGGGAAGGUGUACUAGGGAUUUCAGAUCAAAGGCAAGUACGUUUGUAGAAAAAAAGUAUUGCAUGCAAUUUGCUAAUUAAAAAAAUUAGCUCCCUAUAAAAGUUACUGUGGGACUCGGUUAACCCUUUUCUAAAGCUUGAGGACUGGGUUGCAUCCACGGGGCCUCACAGGCUUGGAUAAAUGCUCUGGCAUUUUCAUAAACAGAGAGAAGCCACUGGCAUUUUAAGCCAGAGUGAACCUGGAUCCGAUUUGAUUGAAACGCUUAGGUUUUACAAAGUUUUCAUUUUACUAUCAUUUUCCCUUCAUACACAAUACACUUUCUUUGACCAAAUCCACACUUCAUAUCCUCCCACUAAAUGCCCCAGGGUCCCUCAUCUACCCCUCCCCAGCUUAUUUUCCCCUCUCUUUCUCUGGACUAAGUCUUGUUAGUGUUGCUCGCAUAAUGCAUGUGGGUGUAGGACUGUCUACUGAAGCAUGAACAACCUACCAAGCCCCUGCCCCCACCCCGCCACUGCACGCUUCUGAAGAAAACUGCCCCCCUCCACUCCAGAUUGUUUUCUCUCUUUCCCUGCUGCCCUAGGCUGUUCCUCCGGCCUUCAUGCGUGUUGAGCAUUAUCUGGUCAGCUUCUCCUUCGCCCCCUCUCCAAUCAUUCCAGUCUACAGCAAUUGUCUCUUCCUCUUUGUUCCCAGCAUUUGCUGGAAUCUUCACACUCUGCCUCAUGACAUCUAAUGCUAUUCUUACCUUCUGCGUGUUAGUGAAUGAAUUAACCCAGCAAGCACUUCCUGACAGCUGUGACAAUGACUUGUCAAGCACUGCGCUGGGGACUAGGGGUGGGGAUAAUGGAGGCAGGUGCCCUACUCCUGUAGCUAAAGUCUGGGCUUGAGAAAGACCUAAAGCAACCUUGAGUCAGUGUGGGAAGCCCAGGGAUAAGCACCGCUCCAGUUUUCAACAGGCCUCUAAUCAAUGGGCGAGGAGGGAUGGGUGGGAAGGUUAGGGGCAAUUUCUGGGUGAAAGGAAUUGGAUUCUUCAAAGGCUGACUAGGGAUGAUGAAGGGAUGGGGUGCUUAGGAAGCAGACUGAGCAAAGCAGCAGGCAGGACUGGUGAGAAAAGGCUUUCAGUUCGUGGCAGCUAGAUGAAGGUUGAGAUGAGUAGAGACAUGGCUAAACAGGCAAGGAGGAGCACAACACAACACAACAAACCAAAGUGUGCCUUUUUCUUUCUAGGAGAAAUUCUCAAUCUGAAUUGGGAAAAAGGCCCAGGGUGGUCCAUAGGAGGCCAGAAGGGGUGUUUCCUGACUCUCUUGCUGAGACAGGGACUUGAGGGUACCACAGCAAGUGUCAGCUUUUGAGGAGACUAUGGAAGACUAACUCAUAGCCAGCUUAGUAAUGCAGUGUGACACAGACAAGGUGUUGUGGGGCCCUUGGGAAAGACCCCUGAGCCCACCUCAGGGCCAGAGAAGGUUUCUUGGAGGUGAUGUUCUCCAAGAGCCAUCCUGACUGUUGGACCUUAUAACGGGUUGGUGGUGGCAGUGGUGGCAGUGGUGGCAGUGGUGGCAGUGGUGGCGAGGAUUUGGAAGAAAUAGGGAGUAAGAAAGCCAAUGUGUAGAGAGAUCUCUUGCAUGCUACUUUCCUGAGCUUCCGCUUUCCAGGCCCAAGAAACAAAGCUACAGACCUGAGAUCCCAGGGACUUCAAAGUAGGCCAGGGGACAGCCUGAAGAGAGAUCCUGGCUAUUUGGGGGCCUUCAGCCUCUCUUGGAAUAUGGGCCUGUUUUGCAAACAUAGCAAUGUGGGCCAAGUACGUGAGGUUUGGCACUGGUUGGGCCGACCCAGCUCACUAAGCAAAUAGUGGGGGAGUUUCUUCCCCUUUCCUUUGUAAACUAAAUCUUCUCUGGGCGCAUAAUUUAUAGGAUUCCAGAGAACUCCAUUUUGGCUUUCUUCCCAAGAAAGAAAAACAUCUCACAUUUUCCAUGCACUCUCCCUAGCCUGCUGGCCUAGAGCUAAGAUUUCCCACUGAGACUAAGGACAGGACUGCUGCUGUUCAGGGCUAAGGCAGUGUUUGGGGGUGGAGAGCUGUACUGCUGCCCCAGAGAUAGCUGCAGCACAUGGUAGGUAAGGAUUCGUCACAAGAGUGGGGAGUGGAAAAUAGAUAUGUAGGGGUUCAGGCAAGUGACUAUGCAGACAGAAGAUCUGCUAGGAGCUGUGCUGGGAGUCUCCCUCACUCCCAGCUCUCCAUGGUUCCUUAAUGUUUACCAAGCACGUUCUCAUCUCAUUUAUUUUACCUCCCCACCCUGUAUGCACCAGAAGGGAAGGACUCACAUGACCAGGGUUCCCAUUUAACUGCUCAACUCUAUCUGAGUUGCUAGGGGAAUGGAACAACAACUUGAAAUCAUUAGCUGCCUUGAGAUAGAGUCCCUAGUUGGAAAACUUCUAGGCCUCAUGUGGUAAGCCUGAUGGGGAUGCUUCCCUGAGGGCCCCAGGGAUGUUUGUGUGAACAAUCUCCACCAUGCUUAGCCCUCAGCACGGUGUGGCUAUGGAGUGAUCAGAGUCGUGACUCCUACACGCUCUGCUGGGACUGUGAGCUGAGUAUUUUGACUACGGUCACAGCCUUUAGAUUGUGUCCAUCACUCUGUGCCUGUCAGGCUAGCCCACCCUGUGCAGAUGCUGCCAGGUAAGGCUGCCUAUGUGUGCUGGGCUUAGAGAUCUGGGGUUGCCUGUAAGUCUGGAAGGGCAAUCUUUAAAUCCAAAUUCCUGCCCUGCUUUGUGUGAGCAAACAACUCUAGAAACUGCACAGUUGGUGAAACUUAAGCUUUAGAAUAUGAACCUUCAUUCUCAGGCGUCUGUUUCCUCUUAUAGUCAAGGGCGAGCAUCCAAAUCGCACUUCAUUUAUCAUUGUCAUUGCUGCUCUGAAAGGUCAGCGUACAUUCCUCUUUGCCUCCAGAAACUUGGCUCUGAGAAUGAUUAGAUUCAAAGAACUGGGCCUCAAAUGCAUGCAGUAGGCACUCACUAAUGGUGUGUGCAUACAGUAGGCACUCACUAAUGUUUGUAUGCAUAUAGUAGGGACUCACUAAUGUUUGUAUGCAUAUAGUAGGGACUCACUAAUGUUUGUGGACAAGGAAUCAGGUUGUGUUCCAUAACAAGGUUGGAGGUGAGGUCCUUGUCCUCACAGUACAAAGACAGCAUGUCCCUUUGUCAGCCAGUUCAACGGCCCCCAUGUUACAGCCCUGACGGUUUCCCCAGUGAAAAUUCUACAAACUUAUUGCAAAAUUUCUUCUGCCGUCUUCCUCUCAAACAGUAGCUGGCCCUUUCUCUUCACCCAAUUCUCAAACUGAUUGUUACAUCCCAAAGGACUUUCUCACCGAAAGUGACCCCUCUUCCCCCAUCGAAGGCCCCGUCUCAGUGUUCAUGCUUCUCUUCAUUACCAAAGCUAUUUUCCAUUGUCCUCAGGACUACAGCACAAUCUCCCUGAUGAUGAGACCUUCUGUGUCUCUGUCACUGUGGAUCCCGGUGACUAGCAUACAAACGGUAGGAGCUUAGAGUUAUUUGCUUGUGGAUAAAAAAAGAUAAUGGGAUUCCGUGUCCUCUGCUCACGGAAGAGGAAAUCGAGGCUUAAGUUUUUACAAGUCCAGUGUAAAUUUGCUUGGGCCAGAUCUGAUCUGGAAGCUGAGAGCCUCUUCCCCAGUAGCUAAUUUCUCAAUUUUGACUGGUGUCUGGAACCAACACAGAAUCAGGGCUUUCCUUACUAGUGUGGAAUGAGGGCCAUUUUGUCUCUAGAGGACGACAGCACAAAAAAUAACUGACAAGAACCCUAAGAAGCUAAAGGGCCAUUUACUCACUCAGGCUGAUAGUGGGAACACGCUACCAUAUAAGUGCAUGUAAGUACACUGAAGAUGAACUAGAGUGAGCCAAAAUGUGGCAAGACAUUAGCAUAUGGAGUGACGUCAGCUAACCAUGGGACACAAGUGGAUCAUCACUGCUGACGUCAGGGGAGUCUUUUCCUCUCCAGAUGCUGAAGGUAGAGUGAGGAGGCUCUUGAGGGUCGAUGCGAAGAGCAAUGGCAUCCUGCAGUACCUGCUCAGUAAGGGUUCUGUUAGCACCCCAAAAUUGGAUUACUCUGGCUGAAGACUAAUCUGCUUCCGUGUCUCACUGACGCCCACUGCUUUUCUUUUCUUUCUUCCGUGAAAGAUGACAGGCAAUGAAUCAGACCAAGCUGCUGAUGAACUGGGAUGCUUGCUCCAGUAGGUUACUCAAGGAGUAGUAAGAAGCGAAUAAUAAUUACUACUCUGUCAGUCAGGGCUUCACUUACUCCACACCACCUAUGCUCCAGACAAGGUACAGAAGGCUUAGAUGUAUUACUUCAAUACAUCUAUAAGUAUAAGUAUAAGUAUAUGGUAUAAGGCUGGAACUAUUGAUUUGUUUUGUUUUAGAGUUAAAAAGCAGUCCUUCAACCCUAUGCAGAAGGAAAUAUUUUCACUUCUAUUUACAAAUGAAAAAUGAUAACAAAAUUUUCUUCCCGUUUAGAAUAAUCAACUUGGAUUUUAGGCUAAGGAUCACCCAAAACACCCCUCCCUCUGAAUAUUCCCAGUGGGAUCAUAUUUCCCAGUGUUGAGACAGCAGUGUGGAGUAGCUGGAGCCAUCCCUGGGAUUGCCUCCAGCUGUCAGGGAAAGUGAACAAGGACUUGGUAUUAUUAUUGGUGUUUAGACUGUGCUCUUGCUGAAAAUUUUUGGUCCCAGAAAGAUCUCACAGAGAAGCCUGAGCUUUGGCCUUGAACUUUUAAGCUAGUGGGAUUAGAGUUGUUUUGUGAGACAGAAAAUGAAAAAAAAAAUGAUCCCCACUUCCAAGAUUUUAUUUUGUCACAUAGCACAAAUUGUGGCUGUUCAAUGGGCUCACCAGGGACACUGAGUCUUCCUACAAGUCUGAUCCACGUUUCCUAUGUAUAUCUUCCCUCCCAAGUCUAAGAUGGCUGCUGGAGCUCCAGCAUUGCAUGCAGGUCCCAGACAGCCGGAAUGGGAUUGUAUUGCUUUUUGAACUGCUCCUCCUCACCCCAUUUCCCUUUUCUUUCUCUUUCGUCUUCAGAUACCAGUACAGGGCUUCAAAGUAGGUGUUAGAACCCAGUAUACGUCACAUCUAUUUUUCUAAUUUAUAACCAUUCAAUAAAUGCUUAUAUCUGAUAGUAAAGGGAACUCAAGAUCCCCCCUUUUUAAAUUCUAGCUUCUAGGACAGGUUUGAAUUUCUUAAGGCAUUACAGAACCAAGUAGGAAGCAAUUCGAUGGAUAAGGUAGUUUGGUGUAUGAACGAUAAGAAGAGAUGGUAAGUGUCUUAUGUUGGAGACUAGAACCUUCUGGAAAGGCGUUAUCACUGUGCUCCCACAAUAGUUGCUAAAUGGGAAUAAAAGAUAUAUGCUUUUAUAUUUAUUUAUUUAUUUAUUUAUUUAUUUAAUGUGUGUGUGUGUGUGUGUGUGUGUGUGUGUGUGUGUGUGUGUGUGUGUGUAGGUAGGUAGGUAGGUAGGUACCCAUCAUGUAGGUCCUAGGGAUCAAACUCAGGUUGUCAGUCUUAGUGGCAAGUUUCUUUAGCCUCCAAGACAUCUCACUAGCCUGUUUUGAUUUUUGAGUUACAGUUAUACUAUGCUGCCCUGGUUGGCCUGGAACUCCUGAUUCUCCUUCUGCUGCAACUUCUGGAAUACAAGCAUGAUAGGCAUAUAUUCCACAUUAAUGUUAUCUUUGAUUAACUAAGUAUAAUAUGGAAUAUAUAUAUGCAUAUAUAUAUGUUGUUGAAUAGAUAAGUUAAUCUCCCAGAAGACUACACACAGCAUCUGAAAUAAUUGACAAAUGAUAAAGACUCUUCUGCCUGUAUUGUCAGUUACUGUAGGUUGCUUUAGUUCCCUUGAGCUGGAGUCUAUGCUCCUUAGAGGCAGAGGUUGUCUUAUUCAUCUUGUCAGGCAGCCAAGUCCUUAAGAGUUAUUUCCAUACCCCUUCUUGGACCUCAUAGGGUAGAACACAGUCCUGUUGCUAGCAGUCUGGGGCAUUUAUUGCCCCUGAGUGGCAAUUGUUCAGCUAGGUACUAGAUUCUUUGGCUAAUGAAGAAGGAAGAAAGGAUAACGGGAAUUCCUUAGAAAUAUCUUUCACUUGAUCCUGAAUACUAUGGGGCCUUCUGGCAUGCUGUCUUGCAGUCCAUGCUGUAGUACCAUGAGUUGUAGCACACCCAUUCAUUUUAUGGGCAGGACAUUUGAGGACCAGAGUAGGAAAGGAACUUCUCUAGGAGCACAUGAUGGAAGAAGCAGCCCCUCUGUCUUAUACUGACUCUUGAAUGUUCAAAGAGCAGCACUCAGCCCUGCUGGCUCCACCCUGUGACAGUGGUGCUUCCAACCCUAACCUUCACAUCUCAUAUCUGAACUGGAGCCACCUCACCCCUUUCCUAACCAAGCCUCUACUUAAUGCCUUCCUCCGUUGCCUUCCCCCAACUGUGGCUAACAGUUUUCACCAUAGGAACAACUAGCAUUGGCUGAUAAGGACGUCUAGGGAUGGUCUCCCUAGGAGAAAUGGAUAAUUUUGGUGUACAAUGGAGAAAGAGUACUGGGAUUGGUUAAUGAGCUCUGUUGUGGUUAUUGCUGAAAAAAUGACAAGUCCUGAAACUGAAUUGGUUUGACCCCUGCUUGCUUUUCCUUCUAGGGUGAGGGGGAAAUACUCUCUACGUGUAACCCCCAAGGUAUCUGGAAUUCACUUAAGACAUUAUGUUCUUACAAGCGAGAUGAACUUCUAGCUGCCCUGAAGCCAUCUGGAAGGGGAGGGGUGGGUGUGAUUCUUCACAUAACAGGUGCUCUCAGUCAUCCAUUACCCAGGCAGCCCUAUCUGAUCCUGUCUUGCAUCAGGAACAUAACUCUUAUCACCACUCCAUAAGCUGAAUCUAUAAAAAUAGACAGGCUUGGAUUGUGGUAAGUGCCCCUGGAGCGACUGAGGCAGCCUCACAUUUAGGCUCCAGUGACAGCUCCCUCACAGGUCAGACGCUAAAUAUAUCUUCUUAAGGUGUCAAAGACAGGGUCAGGGAGCACACCAAUCACAUGAUCAUUCCCAGUCACAAGGGGAGAGACCCUGAGCACUCUGUCCUCAGAAUCUAUUCCUGAACUAGACACACAGUCUGAGAAUAGAAUCCCUGUGUGUGGGUCAACUGUUCUUCUUGGGGUCUUAUGUGGGACGCUCCACACCACACUCCGACAAGCGUGUAGGCGGCUGAGGAGGGGGCAGGACUCUGAGGCAUGCCUUGAGAGAACUGCUCUGAUGAGGGAGGGUUCCCUUCCAGCUGCAUCAUGAGCUAUGAGGAAAAGAAGAAGCCCAGGUUGGUAGGGCUGGAGGGACUUGGGGCACCAACCUUGUUUGCCUCUGUGAAUCACAGAAGAUACCAGUCUCAUUCACUGCAGAGUGAAUCCAUGGCCAGUGACUUACAGUUGGUCAGACUCACACUGCAUUUCGUGAAUAGCACACACCUGUUAGUUCAGCUGAAACUUUAAUUACACAAAUAUUACCUGAAUACAUUUCUUACUGUAAAACCUUGGAACAAUGCGGAAGUAAAGAAGUUUCCCCUUUCCCUCUAUCCUGUGUUCUCUUUUCAGAAGUAAGUGUGAUCAACAGUUUAAUGCUCUUUUCAUAUUUUUUUGUGUAGUAUAUGCCACACACCACAAUCUCCUUCUCAUACACGCAAAUAGUAAAGUAGUAUAGUAUAAAUGCUAUAGGUAAUUAUCACAUGUGAGGUCAGAUAGCUAUACAUCCUUGGGUACUUUGUUUCUGUAGGCUUUGGAUUCCAUCUCUGUAAAAUGAAAAUAUUCAUAUUUACCUGACAGGGUCAUUGAAAAAAUUGGAUGGAAAGUUAGACAGUGACCAACAGAGUAAGGUCUUGUUAUUAUUAUGCAUGUAAAUAAGAGCAUAUGAUUUAUGGCCAUACUAGUUACUCAUUAUGGCAAAUAAACCACACCAAACAUUGUGGCUUUAAAAAUGUGAUUAAACCCAACAAAUAUUAUCUCGUAAUGUCUGAGCAUCAAGAACUUAGGAGUAGAAGAUGGUUCUAACUCUCAGGCUCUGCGAUGCUGGCAGGGGCUGCAGUCCUCUGAAGGCCCAAGUAGGAAUGUGAGGGAUCCUCUUCCUAGAUGGCCCACUUUUAUCUUUCUCCAGGAUAUUCCUGUUGAUUGCUUACAUGCCCCUAAGACAUGGCAACCGGCUUCCCCCUCAAAUAACCAAUGCAGGGAAGAGAGAGUGUGGCAGAGGACAUGUCAUACCUUGUGACCGUCUCUCAGGUCUCAUGUCACCACUUCGUUCUGUCCCUUAAAAAGGAAUUACUAAUUCCAGUUCACAUUCAAGAGAGAGGGACUGAAGGGAACUGGCUGGCAGAAUAUGAACCUAUGUUAUGACCACUGCAGAGGUUAUUGUAGGCAUGCAUGGGACUUGUGCUCCAUGCAUUGCCUUGUUAUAAUUGACUGCAACACUUUAGCAACCUUUCCAUGUUCACACGUGUGGAACAGUGUCCGUCUCACUGUGUGGCGUGUCAUUGUGAAGGUAUGUCUCCAUUUCUUAAUCACCUCUGCUUGUUAAGCAUUUGUCUUAUUAUUAUUUUUUUAUCUUUUAUUUUUGCAGAGAGCAAGGACUAAGUGGUGUUAAAGAGCACUUUUUACAGAUCCAUAGUCCAAAGUUCCAAAUAGUAGUGAGAUUGUUCGUAGGUGAUCAGACAGGUUUUCCUACAAGAACACCUACAUGCGGCACUGUCAUCAUUCUGCCACCCCUGGGUUUUGACCCUGUACCCCGAGUGAGGUGUUCUUGAGACCCUUCCACCUGAUAGGGAGCUGGAGGCCAGAGUAUUUUCAACAUUAGACAUCAGACCUUAAUGAGGUCCACACUAGUUUGAGUAUUAACUCGUUGUUACUAAUGGAUUUGGGCAGCCACCUGCCCUCCCUCCCUUCUCCAUACACAACUCUUCGUUCAUGGUGGUAAGGUCUGGCCUCUCAGGGUGAGUUAGGAUUAAAGUCAAAGACUGGAAUUCCUUCAACAGACCUUCAUGCUUCCAGCCUCCCUUGUGCAAUGUUGGCAAAUGCGAUGUGUUUGUUAUUGAGGUUUCUGUUACUGUAUCACAGUGACUGAGAUACUCAACCUGCAUGAAUGGAAGGUUUAUUUCAGCUGACAGUUUCAGUCUACUAUCCGUUGGUCCUGUUGCUUUAAGUGAGGCCGUACAUCCUGGCAAGACUGAGUGGAGGAGUACAACUGCUCACCUGGUGGCUUGGAAGAGUAAGAGAGGAAGCAAAAGUGGGCAGCAUCCCAAGAUGCCUUCGAAAGAGCAUGCCCUUAAGACCUCCUGCUAGGCCCUGCUUUUUAAGUUUUACCAACUCCUGACAGAGCCAUGAUGGGGAGCUAGGGUGACCAUUGACUUUUGGGACACUUAAGAUCCAGUGUAUACAGCAUAAACAGUCUAAUCAGAAGUCUGCCACAGGACUCUUUGGAAAGCCUUUGCCUUCUGAAUACAAUAACAAGAUAUUGCUUAUUUUUAUCCUCUGUCAUCAGUGCCCUAAAUAUAGAUAUAAUGCUGAGAGCUGGGGCAGCCAUCUUGAGACAUAUGAUAAAACAAAACUGAAAAGCCACCAUGAUAAAACAAAACUGAAAAGCCACCAUGCUCAGGGGUUGAAGAGGAAGGAGAAGGCUGGGCAAGACCUAUAACGGCAGCAGAGGACCUACCCACAGACCUUGGGUGAAAAAUAUAACUCUCCGUUGUUUUAAAGGCACAGAUUGCUAAAGAGCGUUUCUAGUGUCUCUACACUCUCCGAGUCCAGGGACCCUGUCUUUGUGACUCUCAUUUGUCAGAUGUCUCUGAGAGGAACAGCUUUGUUCAUCCUUCAGGCAAAGUGGUGGGGUCUGGAGGACAGCAGCCCACCUGAGGUCAGAGAGUUCUUUCAUCUUGUGAGAGAGUAGACAGUAGGAAAGUGUAGUUGAGAAAAUGACAGGCUUCACCUAGCUACGUUUGGAGACACACGUUUUCCUGCAUUUCUGGCUGAAGCAGGUGUUUAAAACAAGGACUUUCCCGGAUAAGCAGAGCCUGGAGGAACAAUACGUCUAGUAAGUAUGUGACUGGAGAGUUUUGCCCAUAGCCUUUCUCAGUUUGGGGUUUGUUUUCUGGAAAAGCCUGGUCCCAGGAAAGAGGGGUGGGGUUGGCUCUUAUGAGAAGGGUGUGGACAGGUCUGUGGGCAGCUGGAGGGUCUGUGAUCUAACACCAGUGAAACCCUGGAGCCAGGGCUUGUGCCUGGUAUACAGGAGGCAUCUGGCCAAUGAACUCCUGAGCCAUGGGUGCUUCCUUAGCAACCCAGAGCAUCAGCCUGCUGGAGAGUCCUGUCUUCGGAUGCACUGAUGACCUGGCAUUUUUGGCUCAGCUGAGAGGAAAGCUCCCUGGACACACAGACAGGUUUAUCAACUCUAGACAGAAAUGUCUUUGCCAUGUAACAUUCUUUUCUCUUUCUCUCUCGUGGUCCUAGCUUUGUCACUGGGAACCAUAACAUAGCAAAUGACUCUAUAAAAGUGCAGAUGUAAAGUGUAUCUUCAUCCUUUUCUAACUAGGUACUCUUGUGUAGGGUUGGGGUACACUUUUCUUAAACAGCAUUCUUGCAGAGGAUGACAGCAUUCUUGCAGAGGAUGACAGGGAAAACCUCCCACAUGCUGAGAGCCAGAUGCGGGUACAUUAUCCAGGCAGAAGAAAAAUAGCUCCUAGAUAGCCAAGUGGUUCUUCAGUGAAGAGGAGAGAAAAUAUGUUAAGAAUCUCAUACUGAUGUAAGAAGAUCUUGGAGGAUUUUUUUUUCUUUUUUUUUUUUUUUGGUGGGGUUGGGGAAGCAGAGCCAGUUUUUUGCCCGUACUGGAACAUUGUAGCUCUCUCUUGAACCAGCUUUGGCCAUGUAUGGAAGAAAACCAAGGGCUGAAUCAGCCUAUAAUUUUCAGGCUUUUGAUAAUUAUCUCUGGAUCUGGGAGUGUCAUAAUUCGUUUGUUUUGGUUUUUCAAGACAGGGCUUAUCUGCGUAGCCUGAGCUGUCCUGGAACUUGUUCUGUAGACUAGGCUGUCCUCAAACUUACAGAGAUCUACCUGCCUCUGUUCCCAAGUGCUAGGAUUAAAGGUGUGUACCACCACUGCUUUGUUGUGUCUUAACUUUUUAAAUAUUUUUAGCAGAAAGAAGAUUUCCUGGAGUUGGAUUUGAAUGAAAAAAUAAAUGGGAAAGACACAACUGCUUCAAGGACUGCCACCACCAUUGCUGUCCCUCCGACCAUGGCCUGCCACCACUGCUGUUAGAAUCAAUUGAUCAGACCCCCAUUGCUGUUGGUCUUCUGUUACAGAUGCAAACGUUUUAAAUAAAGAAGACAAACCUUCCUUUCAGUGACCAAGAGGGAGGGAUCACAGCGUUACAUUCCUCUUUCCUCUUGAAAAUAGAUGGAUUACCUUCCUUUGGGUCUUGGAAGGAACAUCUGGCAAGAUUGGUCUGGCUGUUUAGGCCUCGGGAGACAGGGGAACUGCUGUCUGUGUCCCUCUGCCUGGUUCUGCAACUGGGUUUUGGAUUUCAGGCCUUUGCAGGGGGCAUGAUGUGUAUCUAGGCUGCUGUUCAGUUUGCAGGGCUGUGCGGUUUCUGCCUGCUAGCCAGAAAUUAGAUUCCUCUCCAUCUGAUCCUCUUCCCUGAGUCUCUGAAUGAGAAGACUGUCCCCUCCCCGUCCCUGUAGAGGCUGCUGGUGUCAUUUCAAGUCAGCUCAGGUAAUGGAUACAAGGCAGAUGUGUAGCAGUGUAGAAUCCUGUCUUCUGGGUCCAUUUCCCCAACCAGAGUGUCUCACUAAUGAACACGGGGAUCCUAAAAGCAGCUCUUAUAAUCACAAGGAAUGCCGCUACAUCUUUUUUGCUAAAAGAGCCUUCUAGCUUUUGAAAACUGCAAUGACUCUCAUUACAGAGACUAAUAAUCAGAUAAGGAAAAUAAGCCAUCUGCAGUCAGAGCUCACAGUGCUGAUGCAUUCAGGGUUUUUCUGCCUAUGCCUGUUAUGAAUUCUAUUUUCAAAUAGGAAUGCAACCAUACUCCAUAACGCAGACUUCGGUACAUUUGCAUGAAUCGAUGAGAUGUAGUCAACAGCUCUCUAGAUCUUUUAGUUCUUCUCUGAGUCAUUUUUUUUGUCUGUUUGUUUUGGUUUUUUGCUUUGUUUCAUUUUUCAAGACAGGGUUUCUCUGUGUAGCCCUGGCUGUCCUGGAACUUACUCUGUAGACCAGCUUGGAGAUCCACCUGCUGCUGCCUCCUUUAAUCAGCUAGGAUUAAAGGCGUGUGCCAGCACCUCCUGGCAGGCACGAUUUUUUAAUAGCUUUUAAAUUAUGGUGGUGGCAUCUUCAUUAACUAGUUAAUUGAACCACUUUGCUGUUGUGAAUAUUGAGGUUGUUCACUGUUACUAACAGUUUUGUGACUCACACAGCCCUGCAUGUUUUCUUGGUUGCUCCUCCCCAGGGCCUGUGCUUGACAAAAGAUUUGCUAGAAAGGCUGUACUCAUUUAGAGGUUGAAAGAGUUCCUGUUCUAGCUGGUCUUCACAGAAAGUCUGUGUGUGAAAGGUGCGGAGCUGCCUCGUGACCUUCAAGGUGCUGCCUGGGCGCGUUUUGGCACAGCUCUGCAUGAUGGGCAGGCGGGCGUGGUUAUUCAUAUUUUGGAAGCUAAAAAGGCUCCAUUUCGAAGAGCCCACAGAGGAACCCCAGGUAGCAUAAUGAAGUGAGUUCGCACAGACAGCUCUUGUGAUAAAGUGAGUAACUUGUGGUGAGGCCACCAAAACAAAAUGACUAUGGGAGCUGCUUUGGAGCUCUUCCUCUUUUUCCUAGAUGGAUUUUGGUUUUGACUGAUUCAUGGUAAUUGUGUAUCCAUUGGAUAGUAAUUAGCUACUGAGGACAAUGGUUUGUUAAGUAUGUGGCAAUGAAAGUAUGGUCUCAGCAUACUGGAGAGCACUUCCCUUUCUGUCUUCUGUCCAGGAGAGCAAGCCCCUGAGGACUCAGGAGUGCAGCUUGUUCAAAAUUCUCAAGCAGUUAAGUUGACUUAGCCAAGGCCACUCAGAGUGUCAGUGACCAAGUCAGAAAUAGAAGCCAUUGCUUCCUGUGACAAAGGAUGUGCUUUUCCAAGACAGCUGGGCUCUUGCCAUUGGCCAAGUCACUCAAACUUCUGUAGUUGUCUCUAUAAGAGCAGUGGGCUGGGGAUCUGGUUAAAAUGUAGGUUCCCAUCUGAUAGUCUGGGGCUAGGUCCUAAGUUUUCUGCAUUUCUUACAAGUUCCCAGAUGAUUCCUUUGGCUGGGGCCGCUCUUGGAUCAGUGAGCAGCCAGAGAAAGAGCUCAGUAAACAGCAGAGCUAAUGACCUAGAUAAAGACACGACUCACUGGCAAAGAGAACAUUUGAAAUGCUGAUGGCUGAAAAGGGUGUUCCCAAUAGUUAUGAGUCUUAAAGGUCAUAUCCUGUUUCUGCUAGAAGCACCCAGGCAUGGGAUCACUCAACUGGCCAGAUGCAGGCUCUUCAGACACACCUCUUAACAGUACAAUCGCCCCUUUAUUGUAUGGAAGAAGCUGAAGCAAGGCAGCCAGGGUAGAAGCUUUAAUAUUCCAAAGGCUCACCAAGUGUCCCCAUGGAUCCUAAUUAAUCACCUGGAGAAAGACCAAGUUGUCUGGGAUGGGAAGAGAACCUCACGCCACUGCAACGUCAGCCCCGUUGACACUUGGAUGACAAAAAGUAGCACUUAAUGAGAAAAGGAGUGAAACAGAGCCUGGGCACAGGAGCAGAAGGCCACGGCCUGUGAAGUUUCUGCAUUGCAGGCAUGGCUUGCCCACUCCCAAGUACCGGCAAAAGACGUCAGAAUUAUUCAGGGUUUGGGCACAGAGUUAAAAGUAGUUACUAUUAACAGUUUUCAAGGCAGGGGGAGUAGGUUGCUUGGCGCCAUGGAGGGGUGAACACAGCAGGCCAAGCAGAGCCAGCCCUGUGGCCAGGGUUGGAGGGUUGAGCCCGCUUAUUAUUUCUUCAGAUUUAGAACCAGGAAAUGCCAGCAUUAAAGCUGGAGCAUGAGUCAUAGGAAAAGAUGUAGAGGCUGAGAAUACUGGUGUUUUGAACCUAUGCUCCCUGGAACUCCAAAGCGUCUAUGGGAAGCCAUUUCAGGGUCUGCUGCUAGGGUCAGGUGUAAAGGGAUGUGGUCCUUCAUCCUAAGUUUAGCCCCACUCGGUAUCUGCUUUACAGGUUUGGAUUCUGAAUAUGAUGGAUUUUUAUAAUGGGUCUUAUACUUAAACAUCUCUUUAUUUGACAGCUCAGAGGAGGAAUAUAACUUCUCAGAGAUUUAUAGCCAGUUUGUGACAUGGCAGGGAGGUAUUUUCUCUGAGGGUGUGGAUGUACCACAGUACUAUACUUAAAAUGCCCUCAACACUGGCAUCUUUUCCUUUAGGGCAGCCUGUUUAUUUUGUUCCAUUUCCCCAGUUCAGAUCUCAUCAAAACUCAAAUCAGUGUCCUUUAUGCCCUAAUCUGGGAAGAGGAGUAGCCUAUAUACCACAUUAGCCAAGGUUAUCUGUGUGGUGUGAUGUGUGUGGCCCUCAGUCAACCUUUACUGUUGCUCAUCUAACUGGAAUUCCUGCUUUAGGUGGGACAAGUUUUCCGAUGAACUUGCGUCAGUGCACCUAAGAAAUGGAGGACUAGUUUAUGUUUGUCCAUUACACAAACGAGGAGUAAUGUGACCAGCAAAAACUCUGGCUGUUUUAUAAGCAUGUGGUGUAAUGUAGGUCACAUGCUAGUUAAUAGGACCAGUCACACAGAUUCUGGUUGUCUUCUUUGAAAAGACCAGGUACAAAGGACUGUGGGGGAUGCUUUCAGAACUAGUUCAGGAGUCUCCCCAUUUCCUUCCUUGUUCUUGUAUUUGUGGUGGUCUCCAUCAAGAUGGGUCUUACAUUCGCCACGUUCUGGGUCUGAGCUGUUGCAACAUCAAAGACAUUUACCUCUUGCAAUUUUACUAUGGAGAAAAAAAAUUUCUUCCUUCCUUUUUUUUUUUUUUUUUCUUUUUAAGGCACUAUACCUUCUGUCAACCCACAUCAAGGCUGUAAUGUUUAAGUCAGUAAUAUUUUGGAAGUUUAUUAUUGUAUCAGAUGAGUAGCCUAUCCCAAUAGACAGAGGUACUUUUAUAAAAAAAUAAAACAAUAAGAGAAUAUAUUGGACAUUGCUGAUUUUACCAUAAUUUUUUCUGUUUGCUCCAUGGUUCAUCCAAUUUGAUGGUCCACCAUCAAAUAACCAUGUGAUUAGAGAAAGGAUUCAUAUUGGAAGAAUUUAGGAUUGGUUAUAGAUGAAUUGCUAAAAGUUUGUGACUCAUUUCAUUAAAGGAAAUCACAAAGAGUGUAAUAAAUGAUGGAAAAAAAUGAAUGAUAUUUGGUGAAUGCUAUAUUCAAGGUCAGUGAGGUCUGGAGCAUUGUUAAUCUUCAUCACUUACUUAGAAGAGCCUGUCAGCAUUAUUUUCCUUAGCAGGCUAAGGGGCUUUUUUUUUUUAAAUUUAUUUAACUUAUUUUAUGUGUGUUGGUGUGAAGGUGUCAGAUUCCAGAUUCCAAGAAACUGGAGUUACAGACAGUUGUGAGCUGCCAUGCGGAUGCUGGGAAUUGAACCUGGCUUCUCUGGAAGAAUAGCCAGUGAUUUUAACCACGGAGCCAUCUCUCCAGCCCCGGGACUUCUUUUUUAAACCUGAGUCUAGUCCUGAAUUUCUAGACUGUGCCUCUGAUUUAAUGACAGAAUGUGGCUGAAAUUCAUCUCCCUUAGAUUUUUUCCCUGGUACCAGAAAAUUAAAAUAAUUAGGACUUCUGAAAUGGAAAUAAUUUUGUAAAAAUCGUAUUUAAUUUUCCUUUCAGGCUGUUUUAUAAGCAUCACAUCCAAACUCUGGUCAUGCUCACUGCCACACUUGCUUCCAUGUGAAUUACAAGUAAGUUACUACCAAUUUCAGUUCCAAUUUCACAAAACAAGAUGGUUCCAAUGAUUGACUCAGCUUCUAAGUCUUGAAAUAUUUUUUAUUGCCCCACCUCUCUGGAGGUCAGAAGACAACUUAGAGGCACUGGCUCUUUCCUUCCAUCUUGUGGGCCCUAGGGAUCAAACUCAGUGGGUCAGGCUUUGUGUUGAGUACAUUUACAUUCUAAGCCAUCUGCUGGCCUGGCUUUGUUCUUCACUGAAUCCACUGUAGUUGGGAGAUCACAUGAUCCCUGACUUGUCUAGCUAAGAGGAUCCCAUGCUACCUUUAGCAAGAGAUGCUGUGGCUUGUGGGAAGGGCUGACAACCUUAUAGAAGCAAAUUACGUAUUGGAGAGCUCCAUGGGCUAUUUGGGGAGGGUUUUGUUUCAUUUCUUAUUUGUUUACUUCAAUGACUGCUAGUAUUAAGUGGAAAUGAAUUGUAGCUGUUCAAAUAGAAAAUGUCACUGAAUAACUUAAAAUUAAGUAGAAUUUUAUCUGCUGCAUUUGAAGGCAUAGGUUAGGAUUUCUAGGCGAGCAGAAUGAGCACAUACAUGAAAUGUUGAGUUAGAAGACAAAGGGAGAGAGCUGUCUUCGUGAGUCCCAUAACACAAAGAGGGCAAGGACAAAACCUGGAUCUUGGUCCCUUGCUGCUCUCUGGUGUCUGUGCCUUCAUCUCUGAGGAUUCCACAAAUGGAAUCUGGUUCUCUUUAGCUGCCUUGGGGUGGUUUCUGUGGCACUUGGCACCGUGGGCUGUGUAGAGGUUCCCAAUAUGAAGAUGGCUUGGGGAUAGUGGAAGAUGAGCUUGGCUGCAGGAGGUGUGGGAAUGGAGCCUCAACAGUUUGCCCAUUGCUGAAGAGCGCCAUGUAGGCUGGGUUGAUGUAUUCCAAUAUUUAAAUAUUGAGAUUCUGUAGACAGAUAUUCUAAACUUUUUAAUCACAUUUGUGUAAGUGUAUAUAUGUAAAUAUAUGUUUAUGAGCAUAUUCACACAUGCCUGGUACAUGUGUGGAGGCUACAGGAUAACUUGGGGAAAUCUGUUCUCUUCUUCCAUUAUGUGGAUCCCAGGGUUUGAACUCAGGUCAUUAGGAUUGGUGGCAAGAGCCUCUAUCUGCUGAGCUAUCGUGCCUGCCCUAGAAGGCAUGACUAGAAAUGUUUGAUGUCUCUUGACCUACCCUAAACUUCUGUAUUGGUUACUUUUCUUGUUGCCAUGGCAAAACACCCGAUAAGAAAUUAAAGGAAGAAAGGUUUAUUACAGUCUACAAUUCAAGAAGAUUCAUCCCAUCAUUGCAGAGCAGGCAUCUCAGAAGAAGCCAGAGUCUAAUUGGUCACCUUGUAUCCUCAGUUGGGAGGCAGAGGACAAAUGGGAAGUUAAGGACUGUAAGAUCUUAAAGCCUGCUCCCAGUGACUCACUCCCUCCAGCAAGGUUCCCCUUACUAAAGGGUCUGUCCACAGGCUGUCAAACAAGUGUUAACAUCUGGGGACAAGUGUUGAAACACAUAGACCUGUGGGGGACAUUCCACAUUCAAACCACAACAAUGUCCCUGAUGACUAACGUCAAUCAGUGUCACUAUUUUUAACGUCAUUAAAUGUGAUCUCACAGCCUUUCUAAAGUAAGGUGUGUUAGGAGAAUAUGCCUAUGUAAUACUGGAAUUCCUGGGGGUGGGGUGAGCUGGGGGCAGUUUCAGGUUGUUUGUGAAAUCUCCAAAAUCUUAAGUAUAGCCGGGUGUGGUGGUACACGUACUACAGAGUCCCAGCUACUCAGGAGGCUGAGACAAGAGGAUCGCUUGAGUCCAGGAGUUCUGGGCUGUAGUGCGCUAUGCCAAUCCAGUGUCUGCACUAAGUUCGGCAUCAAUAUGGUGACCUCCUGGGAGCAGGGGACCAUCAGGUUGCCUAAGGAGGGGUGAACCGGCCCAGGUCAGAAAUGGAGAAGGUCAAAAUCUUAAAUAGAACAAGGGUGUAGCUGAUGCUAAGGCCAGGCCUGAGUGAAGACAGUGUGUCUUCUAUGUCACCAGCUGCCCUACCAGCAACUCCUGAGCUCCAGCCACAGGCACUCAAUCCUGAGCCCCGCCCGGACACACCCUAUGAGGUCACAGCCCCUUUCUCUCAGAACUACAGCAUAAUGUUGGGAGAUGGCAUCCCUCAUUUCUGAUAAGCUGUGAAUUUAUUAUUAGGAUGGAAUAUAAGCGCAGCUAUAUCUUAAUCUAUUAUUUUAAAAAAGUUUUAUUGCCUAGGCUACCACUCUACACUUCCCUUUCUCAUAUACGAGUUCCUUCUGGGACCGUUGAAGUGUUUUUCUACCAGCUGGACCAUUGUUGGGAGUAAUUGCUUCUCUCCUUCCACCCUGGGAGGAGGGGUAGGUUUGUGGUCUCUUAUGUCGAAGAAGGAUGCUUUUGCAAGUUG
rnacentral:lncRNA from 1 species